rnacentral:rRNA from 1 species
CGAACGCUGGCGGCGUGCUUACCACAUGCCAGUCGCACGGCAAGGCCCUGCUUUUGUGGGGUGCUCGAGUGGCGAACGGGUGAGUAACACGUGAGUAACCUGCCCUUGACUUUGGGAUAACUUCAGGAAACUGGGGCUAAUACCGGAUAGGAGCUCCUGCUGCAUGGUGGGGGUUGGAAAGUUUCGGCGGUUGGGGAUGGACUCGCGGCUUAUCAGCUUGUUGGUGGGGUAGUGGCUUACCAAGGCUUUGACGGGUAGCCGGCCUGAGAGGGUGACCGGCCACAUUGGGACUGAGAUACGGCCCAGACUCCUACGGGAGGCAGCAGUGGGGAAUAUUGCACAAUGGGCGGAAGCCUGAUGCAGCAACGCCGCGUGCGGGAUGACGGCCUUCGGGUUGUAAACCGCUUUCGCCUGUGACGAAGCGUGAGUGACGGUAAUGGGUAAAGAAGCACCGGCUAACUACGUG